rnacentral:misc_RNA from 1 species
AAGUCGUAACAAGGUUUCCGUAGGUGAACCUGCGGAAGGAUCAUUAACACAAUUGAUUUCAAUUAUCAACAUUGGGGCACUGGCGAACCUUUAUGGGGGAUCUCCGAAGUGUGGCAAGGUAUGAGAAGACCUCCUUGUGAGGACUUCUGGCCUGUCGGAUAGCAUCCACGCUGAAAAGUGUGAGGUGCCAGGUCCACCUGUUCUAGGUAUUACAGCCUCUAACCUGGCUGGUCUUUUUUUCAUUUUAAACUUGAUUUUUGUUAUGAAUUUAGUUCGGGAUUGAGAAAGAGACUUCACGUCUCGGACUCUCCUGAGCGCUUAGUGGAGAAAUCCAUUAAAUAAUUAGAGUACAACUCUAUACAGCGGAUAUCUCGGUUCUC